rnacentral:rRNA from 1 species
CGCCCUCAAAUCAGGUAGGACUACCCGCUGAACUUAA